AUGGCUGAAUUGGAUUCAUCGUAAUGCAAUUAGGAGCGUAAAACUUCUCGAUCCUAUAGAAUGUCUUAGAAUUAGUUGCAAAAGAGAUGCAUUGCUUUUAAGUUUAGACUAUCUCCACUUAUGGGGAAAGUAAGAUAAAUGACCUUCUUUUGACGUGCGAACAAAUAAGAGAACUAGCUCGACAUGCUAGAUAGACCAAAUAACUUGACCUAAUUAGGACGCUUGGUAUGGAUGCAUGUGAUUUUCUUUACCUCUUUAACCAUACAGUUGAGUUUUAGGACUUCCUUGGUUCGCAAGCCUUUGAAAUCUAAGAAUAUGCAUAGCACCAGAAUAUCAUAGGAAUGCAUAAGCAAAAUAGAGUAAUAGGGAGCACCUUUUGCAAAUAUAGAUGUUUGUUUUAUAUGAUAGAGAAAACACAGUUGUAUUAAAGUCAAACUACAUGAAACAUAUAACUAGGAUUACGGAUGUAAACGGCGCCACACACAUAGUUUUUUUUUUGUUAACUUGAUAGCUCCUUUUUCAUGAAAAAGAAACUUUGUUGAACCGUUAGACUGGUAAGUGGGAUUAAAGCCUUAAACGAUGCGCCGUUUAGAUCCUGAAUUAGGAUGUUAAUAUGACAAAAAAAUCUUGUUCUUGUAAUCUUCUGUCCAGUAAUUCUAAAAUUAGGUUAGUAGGGAUUGUAAAUUCUUGAGUUUCCAUAUGAAUCAAAGAAAAAAUAGCAUUUUUUUGGUCCAAUCCUUUGAGCCGGUCGAAUGAGUGGUGCAUCGAACCGAAAACAUCCUAUUAUGUGUUUUUACUGAGUUUUCCUAUGAGCAAAGGAGGCAUACAUAACAAAUGAUGAGCAUAGCGGCAGAAUUGCAUUUGGCUCACAAGGCUCCACUAGCUUUCUUUCGAAAAUAUGAAACACAGACAAAAAAAACCUAUAGUAGUCAUAAUGCGACCCACAUAAUAGCUGAGCUUGGGAUGGAUCACACUUGUGUGUUCUUUAUACGUUCCACCCAUCAUCUAGACAUUGGACAUUAAAUUUUACAUGUACCAUAGACCAACCGUCCCUUCUUAAGGAUUCUGCUUCCUAUAUAAUCUCCUCCUCUUGACACGUUCGAAUACCCUACCUUUCCUAUAGAUAUUUCCCUAGGACCUGCCGUGAUUCUUUAUGAUUUUGUUAUACACUUGAUCAAAUACUCAGCACAAUAAAGAGUUCCAAGAGUAUGACGGAACAAUGCUUACGAAUCAGGCCGGGUAACACCCACAGGUUUUGGCACAAUAAAUUCAAGAAAAAUGUAUGGGAAAGAUGUGUAGUUUCGACUUAGAAUUGUGAGACAUCAGAAUAGCCUAUCGAGUAAGUGUCCGUUUUACAGGAAGUGUCAUAAUCAAAGGUUGUAGUUUGUUGGAACGA
rnacentral:lncRNA from 1 species